rnacentral:sRNA from 1 species
GUCUCCACGGCACGUCUUUUCUCCUGGGUUUCUAUGUUUGUUUUACUCACUGCCUCUCGUUCCUCUGCUUACGACGUUUUCAUGAAUAAGCCAGAAAAUGGUCAGCACAGAAGCCUCCCUACAACCUGGAAAAAUAAAUGACCUUUAACUUUGAAUAUCACACAGACAUAAUGAGGUGGGAAACUAUAUGCGCAUGCUUGACACAACUUGAAAACAAUACAAAACAACAAAUCACAAUUGCAAAAUCAUACAACGCAAAUGGAAUCACAGUCCAUACGGGAGACCAUGAAAGAGAGUGCAUUUGGUGGGCAUAUUAAGCUGAUAUGCAGACCCGGGAUGGUGUCAGACAAGUGCUGAAGGCACUGUUUGUUUCCUGCCCCCAUGCUGAGCUCAGACCACAACCGAAUCCAGAGCCUGCCAUUUAUCACUUGACCACGUACAUCUGAACCUGCAAGACCCUUGCACAGCCUUCACUGAGGUGUGAAAACUGACAGUUUCCUUCUCCUGCCACUGGUUCUGCAGCAAUUAAAGCUUUUUUGCUAUUGC